rnacentral:rRNA from 1 species
GACGUGGGGCGCGAGCGUUGUCCGGAUUUAUUGGGCGUAAAGAGCUCGUAGGCGGCUUGUUGCGUCGACUGUGAAAACCCGCGGCUUAACUGCGGGCUUGCAGUUGAUACGGGCAGGCUAGAGUUCGGUAGGGGAGAUCGGAAUUCCUGGUGUAGCGGUGAAAUGCGCAGAUAUCAGGAGGAACACCGGUGGCGAAGGCGGAUCUCUGGGCCGAUACUGACGCUGAGGAGCGAAAGCGUGGGGAGCGAACAGG